CUCAAAUGUUGUGUGACU
rnacentral:rRNA from 1 species